rnacentral:rRNA from 1 species
ACGGGUGAGUAAUGCAUCGGAACGUGCCCAGUAGCGGGGGAUAACGCAGCGAAAGCUGUGCUAAUACCGCAUAUUCUCUACGGAGGAAAGAGGGGGAUCGCAAGACCUCUCACUAUUGGAGCGGCCGAUGUCUGAUUAGCUAGUUGGCGGGGUAAAAGCCCACCAAGGCGACGAUCAGUAGCUGGUUUGAGAGAACGACCAGCCACACUGGGACUGAGACACGGCCCAGACUCCUACGGGAGGCAGCAGUGGGGAAUUUUGGACAAUGGGCGCAAGCCUGAUCCAGCCAUGCCGCGUGCGGGAAGAAGGCCUUCGGGUUGUAAACCGCUUUUGUCAGGGAAGAAAUCGAAUCCACUAAUACUGGGUUUGGAUGACGGUACCUGGAGAAUAAGCACCGGCUAACUACGUGCCAGCAGCCGCGGUAAUACGUAGGGUGCGAGCGUUAAUCGGAAUUACUGGGCGUAAAGCGUGCGCAGGCGGUUUCGCAAGUCAGAUGUGAAAGCCCCGGGCUCAACCUGGGAAUUGCAUUUGAAACUACGAGGCUAGAGUGUGUCAGAGGGGGGUAGAAUUCCACGUGUAGCAGUGA